ensembl:lncRNA
AUGCUGGGAGGUUGACAGCUGCUAACACGGGUUAAUAUAAGAAAGAUGUGAAGUUCUGAGGACCUGUCCAAUAUCAGAUAAAGGAUAUCCUUUGUGUCAGCAAAAGUCUAAAAUCACAGUACCCAGAUACACAGCACAUUGCUCUUCACUUCUUGUCACAGCCUGUGGUUAAAGUGACAGCCCAGCCAUCCCUUACAGCACUUCUCCAAGAGAAGCAUUCCAAACCUUGAGCCUGCAGUCACCAGGCUACCCCUGAAUCUCUGCCAUGUGGCACUGCCCUAGCUGGCUUCCAAAGCUCUCAUGCCUUAUUCAGGGAUAUCACAUCAGUGGACAUCUUAAAUCCCCUCAUGGCACUGCAGACCCUCCUUUGAGAAUUAGGGGCUUGGGAAGAAAUCAGCCAGUCAGCAGAGACCAGGGUGAUUCCAGAGAGAGAAAAUUUGAAUUAAAUAAUUAUCACCUUUUUCUAGAAGACAGGGAACAUUUCUUAUUUCCAAGCACAAGAUUACACACAAACAUGAAUUACGCAGUCUAUCUUUCCACCAAUAUAUGUCACUAGAGUAACUUCAAAAUCAAAGCCAGAAAACAGUACAAGACAGAAACAUGUAUCCCAACCUCACUUAUCAACAUGGCUCUAAACUUGUUAAGUUAUUAGCAAACCAAAUUCAGUUUACUGAAUUUGUUUACUAAAAACAAACCACAUUUGGUGACAAACUUUCAUUUCAGGAAUGUAGGAAAGGCUUCACAUUAGAAACUGUAUUAAUGCAAUUCAUUGAAUUAUAAGAUUAAAGUAGAAAAACAACUUUUUGUUUAAGACAAACAAAAAUGACCAUAGCAACAACAAUGACCAAAAAACCCCUCAAAGUAAUAUUAGAAUGCUAAUCUGAAAGUGAAAGUGAAAGUGAAGUCGCUUAGUCAUGCCCGACUCUUUGAGACCCCAUGGACUGUACCCCACCAGGCUCCUCUGUCCAUGGGAUUUUCCAGGCAAGAGUACUGGAGUGGGUUGCCAUUCCCUUCUCCAGCGGAUCUUCCCAACCCAGGGAUUGAACCCGGGUCUCCUGCAUUGCAGACAGACUGAAAUUAGACUUAAAUAAAAUAAAGUGGUGCAAAUCAACCCCCAAAAGAUGCCACCUUACACCUGUCAGAAUGACUAUCAUCAAAAGGAGAAGAGAUAAAUACUGGUGAGGAUGUGGAGCAAAGGGAACACGUAUACAC